UACGUAGGGGGCAAGCGUUGUCCGGAAUCAUUGGGCGUAAAGCGCGCGUAGGCGGCCCGGUAAGUCCGCUGUGAAAGUCAAAGGCUCAACCUUUGAAUGCCGGUGGAUACUGUCGGGCUAGAGUCCGGAAGGGGCGAGUGGAAUUCCUGGUGUAGCGGUGAAAUGCGCAGAUAUCAGGAGGAACACCAAUGGCGAAGGCAGCUCGCUGGGACGUGACUGACGCUGAGACGCGAAAGCGUGGGGAGCAAACAGG
rnacentral:rRNA from 1 species